rnacentral:rRNA from 1 species
ACGAACGCUGGCGGCGUGCUUAACCCAUGCAAGUCGCACGGAAAGGCCCUGCUUUUGUGGGGUGCUCGAGUGGCGAACGGGUGAGUAACACGUGAGUAACCUGCCCUUGACUUUGGGAUAACUUCAGGAAACUGGGGCUAAUACCGGAUAGGAGCUCCUGCUGCAUGGUGGGGGUUGGAAAGUUUCGGCGGUUGGGGAUGGACUCGCGGCUUAUCAGCUUGUUGGUGGGGUAGUGGCUUACCAAGGCUUUGACGGGUAGCCGGCCUGAGAGGGUGACCGGCCACAUUGGGACUGAGAUACGGCCCAGACUCCUACGGGAGGCAGCAGUGGGGAAUAUGGCACAAUGGGCGGAAGCCUGAUGCAGCAACGCCGCGUGCGGGAUGACGGCCUUCGGGUUGUAACCGCUUUCGCCUGUGACGAAGCGUGAGUGACGGUAAUGGGUAAAGAAGCACCGGCUAACUACGUG